rnacentral:rRNA from 1 species
UCGACGGCAGCACGGGAGCAAUCCUGGUGGCGAGUGGCGAACGGGUGAGUAAUGUAUCGGAACGUACCUUUCAGUGGGGGAUAACGUAGCGAAAGUUACGCUAAUACCGCAUAUUCUGUGAGCAGGAAAGCAGGGGAUCGCAAGACCUUGCGCUGAUUGAGCGGCCGAUAUCAGAUUAGCUAGUUGGUGAGGUAAAGGCUCACCAAGGCGACGAUCUGUAGCGGGUCUGAGAGGAUGAUCCGCCACACUGGAACUGAGACACGGUCCAGACUCCUACGGGAGGCAGCAGUGGGGAAUUUUGGACAAUGGGGGCAACCCUGAUCCAGCCAUGCCGCGUGAGUGAAGAAGGCCUUCGGGUUGUAAAGCUCUUUCAGCCGGGAAGAAAUCACAUGGGUUAAUACCCUGUGUGGAUGACGGUACCGGAAUAAGAAGCACCGGCUAACUACGUGCCAGCAGCCGCGGUAAUACGUAGGGUGCGAGCGUUAAUCGGAAUUACUGGGCGUAAAGCGUGCGCAGGCGGUUUGUUAAGAUAGGCGUGAAAUACCCGGGCUCAACCUGGGAACUGCGUUUAUGACUGGCAGGCUAGAGUAUGGCAGAGGGGGGUGGAAUUCCACGUGUAGCAGUGAAAUGCGUAGAGAUGUGGAGGAACACCGAUGGCGAAGGCAGCCCCCUGGGCCAAUACUGACGCUCAUGCACGAAAGCGUGGGUAGCAAACAGGAUUAGAUACCCUGGUAGUCCACGCCCUAAACGAUGUCAACUAGGUGUUGGGUGGGUAAAACCAUUUAGUACCGGA